GGCCGGUUGGCGCAGCGGUAGCGCAGCUCCUUUACACGGAGAAGGUCACCAGUUCGAUCCUGGUACCGGCCA
rnacentral:tRNA from 6 species